ACCUGAGUGGCUCAAUAGGUUGAGCAUCUGACUUCAGCUCAGGUCAUGAUCUCACAGUUUGUGAGUUCAAGCCCCGCGUCAGGCU
rnacentral:tRNA from 1 species